rnacentral:rRNA from 1 species
GACGAACGCUGGCGGCGUGCCUAAUACAUGCAAGUAGAACGCUGAAGGAGGAGCUUGCUUCUCUGGAUGAGUUGCGAACGGGUGAGUAACGCGUAGGUAACCUGCCUGGUAGCGGGGGAUAACUAUUGGAAACGAUAGCUAAUACCGCAUAAGAGUAGAUGUUGCAUGACAUUUGCUUAAAAGGUGCAAUUGCAUCACUACCAGAUGGACCUGCGUUGUAUUAGCUAGUUGGUGGGGUAACGGCUUACCAAGGCGACGAUACAUAGCCGACCUGAGAGGGGGAUCGGCCACACUGGGACUGAGACACGGCCCAGACUCCUACGGGAGGCAGCAGUAGGGAAUCUUCGGCAAUGGACGGAAGUCUGAACGAGCAACGCCGCGUGAGUGAAGAAGGGUUUCGGAUCGUAAAGCUCUGUUGUAAGAGAAGAACGAGUGUGAGAGUGGAAAGUUCACACUGUGACGGUAUCUUACCAGAAAGGGACGGCUAACUACGUG